CUACGUGCCAGCAGCCGCGGUAAUACGUAGGUCCCGAGCGUUGUCCGGAUUUAUUGGGCGUAAAGCGAGCGCAGGCGGUUAGAUAAGUCUGAAGUUAAAGGCAGUGGCUCAACCAUUGUAGGCUUUGGAAACUGUUUAACUUGAGUGCAGAAGGGGAGAGUGGAAUUCCAUGUGUAGCGGUGAAAUGCGUAGAUAUAUGGAGGAACACCGGUGGCGAAAGCGGCUCUCUGGUCUGUAACUGACGCUGAGGCUCGAAAGCGUGGGGAGCGAACAGGAUUAGAUACCCUGGUAGUCCACGCCGUAAACGAUGAGUGCUAGGUGUUAGGUCCUUUCCGGGACUUAGUGCCGCAGCUAACGCAUUAAGCACUCCGCCUGGGGAGUACGACCGCAAGGUUGAAACUCAAAGGAAUUGACGGGGGCCCGCACAAGCGGUGGAGCAUGUGGUUUAAUUCGAAGCAACGCGAAGAACCUUACCAGGUCUUGACAUCCCGAUGCCCGCUCUAGAGAUAGAGUUUUC
rnacentral:rRNA from 1 species